rnacentral:antisense_RNA from 1 species
GUCAUAAGUGGUUAAUACUUCAUUUUAAAUAAAAGAAAAAUGAGCAUUAAAUCACACCAGUAGCACACUCCACUCCACCAACAAGAGCAAUGUCAACAUUUCUCGCAGAAUCCAGCCUCUAUAAUUGUCCAUUUACAUAUCUGCAGACUUCUCCACUUUUAAACUUCGACGCCAGUCCAGGGGGAAUAUUAGAAAUAAGUCACAAUAAAAUGACUUAAUGAUGAAUUUUCAAGGAAAGGAAUGAGUGUGGGUAAUGUAGCAAAGAGGAAAGGGGUUGUUUUUUUUUCUAGAAAAAUGAAGAAAUACGGUACUCAAACACGACAAGAUUAAUUUAAUAAUCUAAACUGGAUGUGAUAUAUAGAAUGUUUGGAGUGGUGUUUUACCAUGGAAUUGAUAUCAUUAUCUUUUAUAAUCGUGUUAGUAAUUGAACUUUCUAUUUUUUUUCAUUGGAAUAACUAUUUGUAUGCGUAUCUUAAAUAUUUUGAUCCAAUUAUGAGAAAUAAAUGUCCAGGCCGAGUUAACUAAAAGUUAGAAGUUACAGAUCCAGCUCCAAAGUGACCAAAAGGGACCUUUCAAGGACCCUUGUCACAAAAAAUUGACUUUAAAGUAAUUUUGAAUUAAUUUACUGGUCGAUUCUAACCAAUAUCUCGCGACCAUCUAUUUCACGAUCGUUGAGCUUCUCAACAGCAAGUUGUGCAUGGUUAGGAUCAGUGAAAACAAUUGUAGCAAUUCCUCGUGAUCUUCCAUCUUCGAAAUAAAAGACCUCGCAAGAUUCUAAAGGACCAAUUUCAUUAAAGGCUUUAGCAAGAUCCUCUUGAGUAGUUUUCCAAGCCAAGUUAGUAACAAAGACUUGCUUUCCUUUAUUUUCCUCUUUUAGUGGAGGUCUUGGAGCAUGAGUCCUUGUUCUCAUUCCAUAGCCUCUGUUAUUCCAUUUGUUUGAUCUUCUACCAUAUCUACUUGAUUCAUCUUCACGAUCCUCACGCACAAAAAUUAGACGAUCAAGUAAUGUAGUAUUAUUUAAUUCAUUGAUAGCUCUUUGAGCUUCCUCCGGAAAUGAAUACUCAACUACUCCACAACCCCUAGAACGGCCAACUUCAUCUUCAAAGACGUCUGCCCGAAUAACAUUUCCAGCUUGUCGCAUGUGAUCCUUAAGAUCGUGCCACUUUGCCUUCCAUGGAAGAUUUCCAACAUAAACACGGCAGUUUUUAUCAGAUACCAUCCUCAAUAUAUGUUCAAGAAGAUUUUUGUCAACUUAAGAGGAG